UCUUUGUUAGUAUACUGGUGACUAUCUCCGCCUGUCACGCGGGAGACCGGGGUUCAAUUCCCCAACGGGGAG
rnacentral:tRNA from 1 species